rnacentral:rRNA from 1 species
GUCGAGGGGUAUAGCACUUCGGUGCUAGAGACCGGCGCACGGGUGCGUAACGCGUAUGCAAUCUGCCUUUCACAGAGGGAUAGCCCAGAGAAAUUUGGAUUAAUACCUCAUAGUAUUAUGUUUCGGCAUCGAGAUAUAAUUAAAGUCACAACGGUGAAAGAUGAGCAUGCGUCCCAUUAGCUAGUUGGUAAGGUAACGGCUUACCAAGGCUACGAUGGGUAGGGGUCCUGAGAGGGAGAUCCCCCACACUGGUACUGAGACACGGACCAGACUCCUACGGGAGGCAGCAGUGAGGAAUAUUGGACAAUGGGCGCAAGCCUGAUCCAGCCAUGCCGCGUGCAGGAUGACGGUCCUAUGGAUUGUAAACUGCUUUUGUACGAGAAGAAACACUGAUUCGUGAAUCAGCUUGACGGUAUCGUAAGAAUAAGGAUCGGCUAACUCCGUGCCAGCAGCCGCGGUAAUACGGAGGAUCCAAGCGUUAUCCGGAAUCAUUGGGUUUAAAGGGUCCGUAGGCGGUUUAGUAAGUCAGUGGUGAAAGCCCAUCGCUCAACGGUGGAACGGCCAUUGAUACUGCUGAACUUGAAUUAUUAGGAAGUAACUAGAAUAUGUAGUGUAGCGGUGAAAUGCUUAGAGAUUACAUGGAAUACCAAUUGCGAAGGCAGGUUACUACUAAUUGAUUGACGCUGAUGGACGAAAGCGUGGGGAGCGAACAGGAUUAGAUACCCUGGUAGUCCACGCCGUAAACGAUGGAUACUAGCUGUUGGGAGCAAUUUCAGUGGCUAAGCGAAAGUGAUAAGUAUCCCACCUGGGGAGUACGUUCGCAAGAAUGAAACUCAAAGGAAUUGACGGGGGCCCGCACAAGCGGUGGAGCAUGUGGUUUAAUUCGAUGAUACGCGAGGAACCUUACCAAGGCUUAAAUGUAGAUUGACCGGUUUGGAAACAGAUCUUUCGCAAGACAAUUUACAAGGUGCUGCAUGGUUGUCGUCAGCUCGUGCCGUGAGGUGUCAGGUUAAGUCCUAUAACGAGCGCAACCC